AGCGAUUUGCUGUUUGAAAAGUAGUCAACUACUUGGCUACUUUUAGGCAAAAUGUAGUUCGCUAUAACUACAGCUAUUGAAAAAGUAGUCAAAAACUACUGGCUACUUGAAAAUUGUAGUUCGCUACAGUAGCGAACUACAACUACUUCGCUACUACCCACCCUUGUUAUUGAUGUGAAAGUUUAUUUCCCGUUGAACUUGACUUGACUGAAUUGCGUUGCUGCUCAGCUAUCCUGUGGCUUUCCCACGCACAAUUAUUGCCUUGAAGAAUUAUUAAGAAAAAACCUCCCAAUUUUAGCCAAUCAACGCACCCGAACGCGCUGACAUCGAAGACCCCCGGACCGCGGUAUCGUUAAAUAUUUAGAGCUGCGCUUGACUAAGUUACUUAAUUUAGAAAAUUG